rnacentral:rRNA from 1 species
UCGAGAAUCUUCCGCAAUGGGCGAAAGCCUGACGGAGCGACGCCGCGUGAUGGAUGAAGCCUUUCGGGGUGUAAACAUCUUUUAUAGAGGAAGAAAUUUAUUGACGGUACUCUAUGAAUAAGGGGCUCCUAACUUCGUGCCAGCAGGAGCGGUAAUACGAAGGCCCCAAGCGUUAUCCGGAAUUAUUGGGCGUAAAGGGUGCGUAGGUGGCACUGUUAGUCUCUCGUUAAAUCUCUGAGCAUUACUUAGAAAUCGCGAGGGAAACGGCAGAGCUAGAGAGUAUGAGGUGUAUGUAGAACUCAUGGUGUAGGGGUGAAAUCCGUUGAUAUCAUGGGGAAUACCAAAAGCGAAGGCAGCAUACAAGCAUAUUUCUGACACUGAGGCACGAAAGCGUGGGUAG